rnacentral:misc_RNA from 1 species
UGCCAACAGUGAACAUAUCAUAGUCAAAUGUUUUGAGAUUUCAAAUCUCCCUAACAGUGUACAAGAUCUUAGGAAAAUGGGUGUUCUUAAAGUGUGAAAAAGCCAAACUGCCUGAGCACUAUACCUUUUGAUUUGGCUUUCCUCUUUUCAUGUAUCACAAGUUUCUUAGUCUUAAAAAUAGCAGGAAUCCUCUGACCCACUAGAGAAGAAUAGAUGUGAUGUUAACAGUAGUAAUCAGAGCCAAAAUGCAACUCAAAGCAAGAAAAAAAAUUGAAGGAAUAGAUCUUUUCAUGGUCUACAACCAUAAGAAACUAACACAUGGAAUUGAAGCUCAAUCAAUUCACAAAAAGAAGAGGGAAGUCUAGGAAGAAAACGUGUGAAACUAAUAGAAGAUAUAACAG